GCCACUAAAAGAAAGUUAAAAUUUAAAAAAUAACAAAAAAAUAAAAGGACCCAAACUCAAAAACAUGACUCUCUGCCUCGUCACUCUCCUUACACAAAACCACUCUCAGUGCCUUAUUCUCAAUGAGAAGUGAGAAUCGCACACCAAUCUUCUCCUUCUUCUUCUUCUCGAUUUCGCUCUCGCUCUCGCUCUCCAUUAUUCCAGGUUCUUUAUCGCUCAAAUCUCUUUCCAGUUUUCAUCUCAAUCUUAAUCGCGCUCUAAAUCCUUUUUCUCGAACAAGGUUGUGCUGAUUUCGAUUGAACUCAAUCGCGCUCUAGUAAUCAGGUUGAACUCGUAAUUCAUUGAUUUAGAAUCAAAGUUUCGAGUGUUUUCUUCACCCAAUGAUGUUAUCGGUUUUAGAUUUAGCAAAAGGGGAAGGAAAAGGUUACAAGAACUUCUAGUGGGAGCCUUCCUCAUGGAACUACUAAUGAGGAAGGGAGCUGGUUCCACAUCAGAGAAACCUCGUUGAUUUUGCAUGCUACCAAUCUCAAGAUCACCUCAAGAUUUCAGAUGUUAUGUGUGAUGCUGGUAAGUCUUGUGGUGUGGAGUCAGUUUGUUUGUAUGGUGGAACUUCCAAAGGGCCACAAAUCUCAUCACUGAAAUCUGGCAUCGAAAACACAAGUCCAGAAAAAUAGCAGUUGCACUUGGAGUUAGUCUUAGUUGUGCUUCUCUCAUGGUUUUACUCUUUGGGAUCUUUUGGUAUAGACAUAAACGACAGCACCAGGCCAUCCUGUUUAUUGGUGAAUAUAAGGAAGAGGGAAUUGUUAGCUUGGGAAAUCUUAAGACUUUCACAUUCAGAGAGCUCCAACAGGCAAUAGAUAGUUUCAGUUCCAAGAACAUACUUGGGGCUGGAGGUUUUGGCAAUGUUUAUAGGGAAAAACUUGGUGACGGCUCUAUGGUGGCAGUGAAAAGACUGAAGGAUGUUACUGGAAGUUCUGGUGAAUCACAAUUUCGAACAGAAUUGGAGAUGAUCAGUUUGGCAGUUCAUCGCAAUUUACUCCGCUUAAUUGGAUAUUGUGCUACUCCUAAUGAAAAGCUUCUGGUUUAUCCUUAUAUGUCUAACGGCAGUGUGGGCAUCCAGGCUUAGAGGAAAAUGUCAACACAAGACAUCUUCAGUUGCUGUAUGAGUCCAAGUUGUACAGGAUUCUCCAGGGAGGAAUUUUCGAGAUAGAAGAUCUGAAUAUAAAGGCCUUAAUAAGGUUUGGAAGGGAAAACUGUCAGAAGCCAAGGCCAGUGGAAAUCCUAUGAAGAUCCAGGAAGCACAAGUAUGGAUUAUAUUUAUAGGCUUGUUCAUGGUCAGGUUACUAUGGUCAAUACAUUUUUAUGUUGGGUUUCAUUUUGUUUGAUUAUUCGUGAUCUGCAUUUAUGAUUCAUUGCAACUUGCUCACAAGUGCAUAUUUAAGAGAAAUUUGUAUAUCAAUAUUUUGAGUUUAAUGAAAUAUCUCAUUUUGUAGUAA